AAGUCGUAACAAGGUCUCCGUUGGUGAACCAGCGGAGGGAUCAUUACCGAGUUUACAACUCCCAAACCCUUUGUGAACCUUACCUAUCGUUGCUUCGGCGGGACCGCCCCGGCGCCUUCAAACCGCGCCGGAACCAGGCACCCGCCGGAGGUAUACAAACUCUUGUUUUAUCCAGUAUCUCUGAGUGGCGAAAGCAAAAAUAAAUCAAAACUUUCAACAACGGAUCUCUUGGUUCUG
rnacentral:misc_RNA from 1 species